rnacentral:rRNA from 1 species
AGAGUUUGAUCCUGGCUCAGGAUGAACGCUAGCUACAGGCUUAACACAUGCAAGUCGAGGGGCAGCAUGAAUCAAGCUUGCUUGAUUUGAUGGCGACCGGCGCACGGGUGAGUAACGCGUAUCCAACCUUCCCCCUGGUAGGGCAUAGCCCGGCGAAAGUCGGAUUAAUACCCUAUGUUCUCCUCUGAGAGCCUUUGACGAGGAGCAAAGAUUUAUCGCCAUGGGAUGGGGAUGCGUCCGAUUAGGCAGCAGGCGGGGUGACGGCCCACCUGGCCUUCGAUCGGUAGGGGUUCUGAGAGGAAGGUCCCCCACAUUGGAACUGAGACACGGUCCAAACUCCUACGGGAGGCAGCAGUGAGGAAUAUUGGUCAAUGGGCGAGAGCCUGAACCAGCCAAGUAGCGUGCGGGACGACGGCCCUAUGGGUUGUAAACCGCUUUUGCAGGGGAAUAAAGUUCGGCACGCGUGCCGUUUUGCAUGUACCCUGAGAAUAAGGACCGGCUAAUUCCGUGCCAGCAGCCGCGGUAAUACGUAGGUGGCAAGCGUUGUCCGGAUUUACUGGGUGUAAAGGGCGCGUAGGCGGGCAGGCAAGUCAGAUGUGAAAUCUCCGGGCUCAACCCGGAAAUUGCAUUUGAAACUGCAGGUCUUGAGUAUCGGAGAGGCAAGCGGAAUUCCUAGUGUAGCGGUGAAAUGCGUAGAUAUUAGAAGGAACACCAGUGGCGAAGGCGGUUUGCUAGGCUGUUACUGACGGUCAGGGACGAAAGCGUGGGGAGCAAAUAGGAUUAGAUACCCUAGUAGUCCACGCUGUAAACGAUGAGCACUAAGUGUCGGGUUACCGGUGCUGAAGUUAACACAUUAAGUGCUCCGCCUGAGUAGUACGGUCGCAAGACUGAAACUCAAAGGAAUUGACGGGCACCCGCACAAGCGGUGGAGCAUGCUGUUUAAUUCGAAGCUACGCGAAGAACCUUACCUAGACUUGACAUCCCUGGCAAUGCUAUAGAAAUAUAGCGGAGGUUACCCAGGUGACAGAUGGUGCAUGGUUGUCGUCAGCUCGUGUCGUGAGAUGUUUGGUUAAGUCCAACAACGAGCGCAACCCUCGUCUUAAGUUGCUAACAUUUAGUUGAGAACUCUUGAGAUACUGCCAGCGCAAGCUGGAGGAAGGUGGGGAUGACGUCAAAUCAUCAUGCCUCUUACGUCUAGGGCUACAGGCGUGCUACAAUGGCUGGUACAACGAGCAGCAACACGGCGACGUGAAGCAAAUCUCUUAAAGCCAGCCCCAGUUCGGAUUGGAGUCUGCAACUCGACUCCAUGAAGUUGGAAUCGCUAGUAAUCCCGAAUCAGAAUGUCGGGGUGAAUACGUUCCCGGGUGUUGUACACACCGCCCGUCAUGCCAUGGGAGUCGGUAAUGCCUGAAGUCGGUAGCCUAACCUGCAAAGGAGGGGGCCGGUGAGGGUAGGAUCGAUGACUGGGGUAAAGUCGUAACAAGGUA